GGGCGCACGGCGCACGGGUGCGUAACACGUGGGCAAUCUGCCCUCCGAUGGGGAAUAACCCCGCGAAAGCGGGGCUAAUACCGCAUAACAUUCCGAGGACUUCGGUUCUUGGAUUCAAAGCAGUGAUGCGUCGGAGGAGGAGCCCGCGCCCGAUUAGCUAGUUGGUAGGGUAACGGCCUACCAAGGCAAUGAUCGGUAGCUGGUCUGAGAGGAUGAUCAGCCACACUGGAACUGAGACACGGUCCAGACUCCUACGGGAGGCAGCAGUGGGGAAUCUUGCGCAAUGGGCGAAAGCCUGACGCAGCGACGCCGCGUGGGGGAUGAAGCUUUUCGGAGUGUAAACCCCUUUCGACUGGGAAGAAUGCCCGCAAGGGAGCGACGGUACCAGUAGAAGAAGCCCCGGCUAACUACGUGCCAGCAGCCGCGGUAAGACGUAGGGGGCCAGCGUUGUUCGGAAUUACUGGGUGUAAAGGGUUCGUAGGCGGUGCGGCAAGUUGGGAGUGAAAUCUCUGGGCUUAACCCAGAGGCUGCUUCCAAAACUGCUGUGCUUGAGUGUGAGAGAGGCUCGUGGAAUUGCAGGUGUAGCGGUGAAAUGCGUAGAUAUCUGCAGGAACACCCGUGGCGAAAGCGGCGAGCUGGAUCACAACUGACGCUGAGGAACGAAAGCUAGGGGAGCAAACAGGAUUAGAUACCCUGGUAGUCCUAGCCCUAAACGAUCAGGACUUGGGGUGCCGCCCGUUCGGGCGUCGUCCCGGAGCUAACGCGUUAAGUCCUGCACCUGGGGAGUACGGUCGCAAGACUGAAACUCAAAGGAAUUGACGGGGGCCCGCACAAGCGGUGGAACAUGUGGUUCAAUUCGACGCUACGCGAGGAACCUUACCUGGGCUCGAAAUGCUUAUGACCAGCUGUAGAAAUACGGCCUUCCCGCAAGGG
rnacentral:rRNA from 1 species